rnacentral:rRNA from 1 species
CUACCAUGGCAAUCACGGGUAACGGGGAAUUAGGGUUCGAUUCCGGAGAGGGAGCCUGAGAAACGGCUACCACUUCUAAGGAAGGCAGCAGGCGCGUAAAUUACCCAAUCCCGAUUCGGGGAGGUAGUGACAAGAAAUAACAACUCGGGUCCCUCUGGGAUUACGGGAUUGCAAUGAGAACAAUUUAGACCACUUAACGAGGAUCCAUUGGAGGGCAAGUCUGGUGCCAGCAGCCGCGGUAAUUCCAGCUCCAAUAGCGUAUAUUAAAGUUGUUGCAGUUAAAAAGCUCGUAGUUGAACUUCUGAUUGUUGCGUAUCACUGGCUUAGGUCGUGUUCGUAGCGGUCAUCCGCUUGGGAACUCCAUUCGAGCUUGAUUGUUCGGUGGAAGGAACAGGCAUUUUACUUUGAAAAAAUUAGAGUGUUCAAGGCAGGCUAUCGCCCUGAAUACACAAGCAUGGAAUAAUGAAAUAGGACUUUUUCCGUUUUAUUGGUUAUUGGAAUUAGUAAUGAUUAAUAGGGACAGUUGGGGGCAUUAGUAUUUAAUAGUCAGAGGUGAAAUUCUUGGAUUCAUUAAAGACUAACUUAUGCGAAAGCAUUUGCCAAGGAUGUUUUCAUUAAUCAA